GGUCGGGUAGCUCAGCUGGAUAGAGCAACAGCCUUCUAAGCUGUGGGUCGAGGGUUCGAAUCCCUCCUCGAUCACCA
rnacentral:tRNA from 1 species